rnacentral:lncRNA from 1 species
GCGGCGGGAGGAGGCGGUGCCUGUGGGAGCGGAGGGGGCGGGUCAGGGGCUGCGGGCGGCCGCGCGGCACCGGCCCUGACCCGCCGCCUCCCUCUGCAGGACUCGAGGCUGCGUCACUGCAGAGAGAGUUGCAGAAGUUGGGCCUGUCCUGCGGACCAGGCAGGUAGUUUCCCUUGCCCCCCGGACCCUGGGCUCCCCCGCUGCCCCCGCCGAUCCAGAGUCCUCGUAUCCUCGGGCAGUCCUCAAGCCCCCCUGGGACCCAGGAGAGCAGAGCAAAGACACUGGGGCUUCCUACUCUUCUCCGCCCAGGAUUCUGGUGUAUCCCCAGGCAGAAGCAGCGGAUCCUAAGCCAGGCACGGGAUCAAGUGACCAAAUCAGCAUUUUUGCAGAGGGUAGAUGGGGGAUUGGGGAGCCUGGAUUCCCCACCCAUCGGAGGGCUUCUGGAGGCACGAGGAGGGCUCAGGUUACGGGACACCCAACCCUGCAAACGGACCGGGGGAAGUGGACUCGGCUUCUGGCGACAGACACCAGGAGGGGGGAAGCCAAUGUCUGUCCACGUCUGCAGACCCUUUCCCCACCCCUCCUCCUUCCCGAUCUAUCCUUUCCUGGUCCUCAAGGCACAAAAAUUCCCGAAAGCUCCAAACUCUCACCGCCGUCAUCCUCAGCACCCCCUCCUAACUCUCCCUGCCCCAUUCCCUAAGGCCCUGGAAUUGGGGAAGGGUCUUCCCCUUUCUGAUUUCUAGGACCCCUUCGGUUUCUCCGCCCCCAUUCCUAUCCGUACCAUUUCCAGGAAAGAGGGUCUCCCGGACACUAAAGCUGAAAAUAUGGGGACUCUCUGCCUACGAUUCUUGGUGCCCCGAG